rnacentral:rRNA from 1 species
UACCAGCUCCUCGAGUUGUUGGGACGAUUAUUGGGCCUAAAGCGUCCGUAGCCGGCCGGAAAAGUUCACCGUUAAAUCCGACGAUUCAAUCGUCGGGCUGCGGAGAAUACUCUUCGGCUUGGGGGCGGGGGAGGUCGGCGGUAGUCCCGGGGUAGGGGCGAAAUCUUAUAAUCCCGGGAGGACCACCAGUGGCGAAGGCGGCCGACUAAAACGCGCCCGACGGUGAGGGACGAAAGCUGGGGGAGCGAACGGGAUUAGAUACCCCGGUAGUCCCAGCUGUAAACAAUGCAGGCUAGGUGUCGGGAUGGCUACGGGCCAGCUCGGUGCCGCAGGGAAGCCAUUAAGCCUGCCACCUGGGAAGUACGGUCGCAAGGCUGAAAUCUGGAGAGGCUUACGGUAGUCAGCGUUACAUGAGAUCAAUUUAACAUAUUUCAGGGACGCGCGUCCUUGACAUAAAUUCAAUUGUUCUUGACUGAGCUUUUUGGUUCAGUACUUUAUCGAUGGUGAGCCUUCCUGACAGCAUACUUAAAGGAAUUGGCGGGGGAGCACCACAAGGGGUGAAGCUUGCGGUUUAAUUGGAGUCAACACCGGGAAUCUUACCAGGAGCGACAGCUGGAUGAAAGUCAGAUUAAAGGUCUUACUGGACUAGCUGAGAGGAGGCGCAUGGCCGUCGCCAGUUCGUGCCGUGAGGUGUUCUCUUAAGUGAGACAACGAACGAGACCCGUGUCUCUAGUUGCCAUCGGGUUCCUUCGGGAAUCCAGGCACACUAGGGAGACUGCUUCCGCUAAGGAGGAGGAAGGAGCGGGCCACGGCAGGUCAGUAUGCCCCAGAUCUCCUGGGCCACACGCGAGCUGCAAUGGUUGGGACAAUGGGUUCCGACCCUGAGAAGGGAAGGUAAUCCCGAAACCCAGCCUCAGUUGGGAUCGAGGGCUGUAACUCGCCCUCGUGAACAUGGAAUCCCUAGUAACCGCGUGUCAUCAUCGCGCGGUGAAUACGUCCCUGCUCCU